GUACCAGGCACUGUUUUGGCACUUUACUGGGAUUGUCUCAUUUUAUUCUCACAAGAGCUCUGUGAGGAGGUACUAGUUUAAUGCCUAUUUUACAUAUGAAGAAACAGAGAGGAAGGUUACGUAACUGGGACAACCAAGAUGAGACAGACUGAUGCAUUUGGAGUCAAAGACUGCUCAAUGGGUUCUUUUGGGACAGAGGUAUAUCCAGUCUCUCCAUGAUAAGGAAUCUGAGCCUCCAAGAAUUGUAGUGACAUGUUCAAGCCACAUGGUUAGUGAGAAGCAGAGAAAGGACCUAAGGUCAGAGCAAUCUUAAGCAGGUCCUCCGUGGUCAUUGUUAGUGUGGUUUGCUUCCAGGCCAGACCAUUUCCUUGCUGAUGCAAGAUUCUCCAGAGCUCUCCUUUUCCCUCAGGAAGUGGUGAUUGGCUGCUCCAUCAGCCUGUGUUCUUGAGUGACUGUGCUGGGCAGAAUUCCCUGCCAGCCUGAGAGGGACCUGUGGUGUAGAACAUGAAAUAAAAACCUUUGUGGUUUUCAGUUAUUGAG